rnacentral:rRNA from 1 species
GACGAACGCUGGCGGCGUGCUUAACACAUGCAAGUCGAACGGAAAGGCCCUGCUCUUGUGGGGUGCUCGAGUGGCGAACGGGUGAGUAACACGUGAGUAACCUGCCCUUGACUUUGGGAUAACUUCAGGAAACUGGGGCUAAUACCGGAUAGGAGCUCCUGCUGCAUGGGGGGGGUUGGAAAGUUUCGGCGGUUGGGGAUGGACUCGCGGCUUAUCAGCUUGUUGGUGGGGUAGUGGCUUACCAAGGCUUUGACGGGUAGCCGGCCUGGGAGGGUGACCGGCCACAUUGGGCCUGAGAUACGGGCCAGACUCCUACGGGAGGCAGAAGUGGGGGAUAUUGCACGAUGGGCGGAAGCCUGAUGCAGCAACGCCGCGUGCGGGAUGACGGCCUUCGGGUUGUAAACCGCUUUCGCCUGUGACGAAGCGUGAGUGACGGUAAUGGGUAAAGAAGCACCGGCUAACUACGUG